AAAUUGUUUGCAACGAAAUAUAAUAAAAUCACUGCAGCACGCAACACUGCCACAUCAUCAUGAAAAUCAUUAAGAUUGUUGCCGUCAGAGCAACUCUACACAUGCCAAAACUGCACGAAAACUCUCGCACUCUCGAAAAAGAGAAUCGAACAUUUACGACGACUAAGCUCACGAACUUGUACGUUGCUGAUCAUUCGUUUUCUGCUGGCUUAAAAAGUGGACGUACGGGAGGUGCAUGACUAGCGAAGCUAGUGCACAGAUUGAGUGUGAAAAAAUCAAAUCUCGGCUCAAAGAAAAAUCAUCAGGUAAUUCGUCACGACGUAGUCCAGAAUUGGACGUAGUGCUAAAAUCACCAUUUAUGCUAGCAGGUGUCCGACGACUCCGAUUCGACCAUCAAUCGGAAAGACACGCUCAACCCGCAUGGAAAACGGUGAAACGACGCUCACCAGUAUUCCAAAAGAACCCGUCCACACGCACUCGUUGUAGUGCUAGCCAACACUUCGAUUUGCAACCGAACGACGUUCAUCUAAGCCAGCAGAAACAAAUGCCAAAUUAACUUGGACAGAUCGGCAAACCGGUUGGAAAUUACCAGGGUUCGCAUCACUGAGACGAGAAAAUCGAAAGGCUCUCUACGGAGGUAAUUUCAACAAAAAAUUCCAAUUGGAAUGUGAUUAUAAUUCCUGUUUUGUCAAACAGGGCCUUUUGUUCGGAUUCUUCAAGUGUGAUCGCCAUCGACUACGAAGAGUGUGGGAGAGCAACAAGCACGCACCAACACCAUUAGCGCCAUCGAGUCGCACGGCGGUCACCGAGUCACACACACGAACAUCCAAGUCAAAGUUCUCGACGAGCGUGCAAUCUCGAGCCGCAAGAUAACGACGCAGCUACGGGAGCGGGAGAAGCAACAGGGUGUGACUGUGUUUAGAACAUCAGCGUGAUCACACGCAAGUGAAGGGAGUGAUCGGUGUUGAAGAGCGAGAGAAACGUUUGAGUGUGCGUCGAACAGUACAAGUGGCCGGAGAGCGAUCAGCGUAGUGAAGACCGACAGGACCGUCGGUGUGUCGGCGUGCAUCCCCGGUUGCAAGUGGUAUCAGGUGAAUGCAUCGCAUAGUGAGGUCGGCUUGCAGUUAGUGGCAGUGUGUGAGUGCAUGUGCAGUUGAAUCUGCUCGAAUAGUGACCGCUCGAGAAAAGCGCGUUCUGAAAACCAGUUGAGAAGAGAGAAGAAGAAUAUCAUCAUCAUCGCAUCGAUGCGGGGCCCCGGCAGGUGCAUCAUCAUCAACAGCAUCGGUGCAGCAACGUCAGCAUGUGAGAAAGGCACAGGUGUAGUACCUGAUAUAUAAGGUAGGACAGUAUAUGAGACCUAUUGAGCAUAAAUAGAUUGUGAUGAUGAGAAUGAAUAUGCUUAUGCUUGUUUACUUUAUUGUUUAUGGCCACCUAUUGGCUGAGCGAGAAUUUCAAAUCCUUUAAGAGCGCCAUAGCCGGGCAGGGACUUUCAAAUGUUACAAAUCUCAAUCACCCAAUUGUGUUGGACCGUGAACAUGAGUUGAUUUAUGCGAGUUGAGCAUUUGGUGGGAAAAUCAUUUAUUAUUGAGCCCCAAACAAUAAAGUUAGUAAUAAGUAAUGCAGGGAUUCUUCGGUAUUCAAAGCAUAUUUACCUUAAAA